AGUGAGGAGUAGUGACCAUGAGCAGAAACACCUGGCAAUUGCCAUUGCAAGGUUUCUCUGGAGCCAUAUUAGAGACAUAAACAAUUAAAGCUAGUUUCAUUAGAUUUUACUGUUCAGAAAAUAAUUGUAUGGGAAAAAGAAUUGGAGUAAGAAGAGGCAAAUAAUAAAAAUGAUACUAUUUGCACUUUCCAGGUGUUGGUUAAACCAUUAGAAGUUUUAAGAAAAGGAUACUUCAAGUCAUUGACUGCAAGAAAUUGACUAAGGGACCUGUCAUAAAACAACAUCCAGUUUCAAGGAAAAGAGGAAAAAAACCCCAAAUCUGUGUAAAAGGGCCAUUGUCAUGGGCAGAGCAAACAGUGAGAGAUCAAUCCUGGACUUAGGAGGACGGAAACACUUUCAUUUCAGGUUGGGCCACCUCUGAUUUGCUCCACCUCAGGUUUGUGAUGAAGCAAUCCAGAACAGUUUCGUUUCUGCCACCUGCUGAAGCCUCAGUAUUAUAGAGUCAGCAUUUGCAGGAAGAGAUCCUGCCUGCCUUAUACUCAUAGACUAUCAUGGCUUCAGAAGAGAUCUUACAAGCAUUUGUGGGCCACUGCUGGCAGGGAUGGGUGAGUUCCAGCAAUGCUGUUCCCUGCCAGGCCACCCUCUCAUUUCCCAGCCAAAAAUAAAAAGAUGUGCUCCCUGGAAGAGUACUCUGAAGGGAGGCCAGCCAUCAUGUUCACCACAAUUAAAGAGCAGGCUUCUAAAAAGUAUGCUCUGGGAUUGUAAAAGAACAACCUUGCUACUUCUGUGUCUCUAGUUCAAAGACGCCAAUCCAGCCUCCCUUUGCUGGAAUAAGGCUGAUUUAGACCACAAGAUACAGAUGG